UUUCCCGUCAUUGGGGAGUAGCCGCCCUGCGCCCGCAGGGGUCCGCGUCAACACACUUGGCCCUCACGGCCAUGGCGCGAACAGCUCCACGCCUGGCAAGACCUUUGACUGCACACCUUCCGGAACAAGGGCCGGGAAGGGUGCGGUCAUCUUGCGUCUGCAGGCCCUGGAGU
rnacentral:sRNA from 2 species